rnacentral:rRNA from 2 species
UGGGGAAUAUUGGACAAUGGGCGAAAGCCUGAUCCAGCAACGCCGCGUGAGGGAUGACGGCCUUCGGGUUGUAAACCUCUUUCAGCACAGACGAAGCGCAAGUGACGGUAUGUGCAGAAGAAGGACCGGCCAACUACGUGCCAGCAGCCGCGGUAAUACGUAGGGUCCGAGCGUUGUCCGGAAUUAUUGGGCGUAAAGGGCUCGUAGGCGGUUUGUUGCGUCGGGAGUGCAAAUCCAGGGCUUAACUCUGGACUUGCUUCCGAUACGGGCAGACUAGAGGUAUUCAGGGGAGAACGGAAUUCCUGGUGUAGCGGUGAAAUGCGCAGAUAUCAGGAGGAACACCGGUGGCGAAGGCGGUUCUCUGGGAAUUACCUGACGCUGAGGAGCGAAAGUGUGGGGAGCGAACAGG